rnacentral:rRNA from 1 species
GACGAACGCUGGCGGCGUGCUUAACACAUGCAAGUCGAACGGAGUUAAGACUUCGGUUUUAACUUAGUGGCGAACGGGUGAGUAACGCGUGAGGAACCUGCCUCUCAGUGGGGGACAACAGUUGGAAACGACUGCUAAUACCGCAUAAUGUCAUGAAUCGGCAUCGGUUUAUGACCAAAGAUUUAUUGCUGAGAGAUGGCCUCGCGUCUGAUUAGCUAGUUGGUGAGGCAAUAACUUACCAAGGCAAUGAUCAGUAGCUGGUCCGAGAGGAUGAUCAGCCACACUGGGACUGAGACACGGCCCAG